rnacentral:lncRNA from 1 species
UUUCUCCCCUUUUCAGUGGUCAGAUGUCAAUAUCCAGUAGUUGAACAUGGAAAACUGGUAUCAGGAAUCAGAGACAAAUAUUCCUACCAAGCAGUGGUUCUAUUCGAAUGCCUCCCAGGCUUCUAUCUUAAUGGCAGCAACCCAGUGUUCUGUGGUGGGAGAAGUACUUGGGAGCCUGAGAUGCCAAAAUGUAUCAGAGGUUUCAAGCCUACUCAUCCACCCAAACCUCCAGUUUCAAAGUAUCCAGGCUAUCCCGAGCCCAACGACCCAAUAUCACUUGAAGACUUUGAGGAAUUAGUUGUUGGCCUUGCGGUACUUUGCACCUGCCUGUAUAGAUGUUUUCAAAGGGAGAAGAAAGGGUAAAUAAAAGCAUGUUCCUUCUAACUCA